UACGGGGGGGGCAAGCGUUGUUCGGAAUUACUGGGCGUAAAGGGCUCGUAGGCGGCCAACUAAGUCGGAUGUGAAAUCCCCAAGCUUAACUUGGGAACUGCAUCCGAUACUGGAUGGCUUGAAUCCGGGAGAGGGAUGCAGAAUUCCAGGUGUAGCGGUGAAAUGCGUAGAUAUCUGGAGGAAUACCGGUGGCGAAGGCGGCAUCCUGGACCGGCAUUCGACGCUGAGGAGCGAAAGCUAGGGGAGCAAACGGG
rnacentral:rRNA from 1 species